GCCAAAGAACUCGUGUCCCACGCUCCUGA
rnacentral:piRNA from 2 species